rnacentral:misc_RNA from 1 species
GAUGAAGAACGUAGCGAAAUGCGACAAGUAAUGUGAAUUGCAGAAUUCCGUGAAUCAUCGAAUCUUUGAACGCACCUUGCGCCCUUUGGCUAUUCCGAAGGGCAUGCCUGUUUGAGUAUCAUGAACACCUCAACUCUCAUGGUUUGCCAUGAUGAGCUUGGACUUUGGGGGUCUUGCCGGCCUAUGGGUCGGCUCCUCUCAAAUUAAUCAGCUUGCCAGUGUUUGGUGGCAUCACAGGUGUGAUAACUAUCUACGCUUGUGGUUUUCCAUCAGGUAACCUUCAGUGAUGGAGGUUCGCUGGGGCUCAUAAAUGUCUCUCCUCAGUGAGGACAGCUUUUUUGAACGUUUGAUCUCAAAUCAGGUAGGACUACCCGCUGAACUUAAGCAUAUCAAUAAGCGGAGGA